AAGGCAAGAAGAAGCAGAGAGGAAAAAGCCGCCGGGAUGGGUCACAAUUCGCAUCCCUCCCCCACCACCUCUUCUAACAAAAAAAAAUCCAACUCUGGAGGGAAUCAGAGAUGCCCUGACUGCAAGCUCCAGCCUUGCAGCCUUGCAGCAGCGGGUCCGGGUGUCCCGGGGUCCCCGCGUCCCGGGUUCCCGGCUCCCCGCACCGCGCCCCCUCCGGGCCGUGCCGGUGCCGAGCCUCGCCCGAGCCUCGCAACCUCUCCGGGAUCAAGCAGCCUCCUCCUCCCUCCCGGCCAGGAGGCAAAGCCCCAAAGCCUCGGGGAGGACACCCGGAGCCUUUCGCAUCCUCCCUCCGCCGCCGCGGAGUUUGCGCGGAGGCGGAGGGCGGCCGCGCCCGCGGAGGAGGGAGCCGCAGGAAGAGGUGGAGCCAAGGAGAUAAGCCAAGCUGCCAAGUGUUUUCUGCAUCUCACCAAUAUGGACCUGCAGUGGAAACCUCGGGAGCCGUUCUGCCUUGGGCAGUCUCCUGAAGAUGUGUGAUGGUCUUGGACUGUGCAUCAGUGACCAGCAGUUCGUGUUGCCUCAGACCCAUGCUGCACAGGGGCUGGUGCCUGCACCGGGAGCAGCACAGAGACACCGGGGGGAAAAUGUCACACCCCUGGGCUCCCCAAAAUGCAAGGAACAGGAGGCUUCUCCCAGCAGCACAGGAGAACUGAGAUGAAUGAAACCUCAUUCAAAGGGUAGGUAACUGUUCUGGGUAAAACAAAAUAAAAGCUUGUACUGGGACAUGAGAUCUCAGGAGGUUACCUGAGCCUGGGUGUCCUCCAUCCAGAACACAACCCUACAGAGCGUGCAUUUGGGCUGUGCUCUACAGUGUUUGCACGUUCCUUGUGUGCUCACCCUGGGUUUGAUCCUUCACCAGUCAUUUACUGAUGUGCCAUAACGUGGUGAAGCCACACCACCUAUCCAGUGGCUUUUAAGAAAAGGUUUCUGCCUAUCUGCAUCUGUAGAAGCACCAUAUCUUGUGCUUGCUUUGAGAGCAUGGUCCUGUGUGCAACAGUGUUUUGUGAAAAAGCAUACACACAUGGAGCAAGUGUGCUGUUCUCUUCUUACCUGAUGAAAAAAAAUAAGAAAAGAUUAAAUAAUUAAUACUAGAUAUUGCUUAACAGUUGUUAAGAGGCUUACUUAAUAAUUUUUGAAGCUUUUUUUUUUUUUCUAAAUUAGGAAUAACACAUAAUUGAGCAUGUCAUUCUGAAGCAGCAAAUAACACUUUGGAGAGAAUUGAAGGAAACACAUUUCUUUGAUUAAAAUAUUUUUCUCAUUAACAGGAUGUUCAAAAUAAAGCAAAAAUAUUUGAUGCACAGAGCCUGUGGCAGUAUCGAGUUAACGCUGGCGUGCUCCCGCAUUUUACCUCAUGUUUACUAAUCAAUCAGAAAAGCCUCUUGCCGGCAAGAAAGGUCACAUCUUCCAUCACAAAACAGAAACUUUUUGACAACAAACAAUUGGAAUUUCACCAUUCUGUUUAAUGUGGAUUCUAGCACAGAGAGUUAUAGCCCCAGGCGGUGGGAAGGGUGGUGUGGGAUUUGGUGAACAUGUAGAGCUGUGCUCUCCAAAUGUUCACUGCUCCAUACUGUGUGUAUGGAGACUGCCUCACUAGCAUCAGGUUAUGAUGCUGUUCUUCAAGUCCCAGAAUCAUUUAGGUUCGAAAAGAUCUCUAAGGUCAAGUCUGACUAUCAACCUAGCCCGCCAAGUGGUCAAAUUAUUUGGAGGAUUUGGAGGAGAGGCCAAUCCAGGUGGUGCUUGGGUAGGUACAGGUGUGCAUUUCUGACUCAGAUGCUAAUGGUCUGGGCUGUGACACUGCAGAAAGAGCUGGUCUAUGGACUAUGAGAGCAACAGACACCCAGAGAGUGUUGGGCAGUGCUUCUCCUUCAAGUACUCUUAGUUUUAGCUCAGGAUAGAAACAAAUCCUCUGGUCUGGAACAUGACCUUCAAGUUUCUGUUCUUUUUUGUCCUUUAAAAUUCCUUACUGACCUAUAUCUUGAUAAAGUGCAUUUUCUUAGCCAUUGGGGAAAAAAAAAAAAAAAAAAGAGCUCUGUUUUCUUAGAUAAAAGAUACGGCCUGAUUGUUUCGCAAGCAAAACAAUGCACAUAUUAAAAGCUCUUGAAAGAGCUGGGGUGGAAUCAGAAAGGUGAUUAUGAAAUGUCACUGAUUCUGCCAUUUUUCCUUCCCCUCCACUUGCUGCCCAGGCAUCAGCCACCUCCAAGGAGUCUGCUGGGUGGUGACAAUAGCAGGAUGCAGUCCCACACCCAGCUGGGAUUUACACCCUUGGUCUCCUGGAGAAAUCAUCGGUAUGAAAAGAUGCACAUGUUGCCGGCAGCUAUAGCACAUAUUGCAUGGCAUGACACACACAUAAGUGAGAUUAAUAUGAGUUCUGGGCAUCAUUAGCUCAAUUAAAACUGUGAUUUUUUAGUUCAGACCUACAGGCCAUUGCAGAGAAGAGUAAUCAUAAGGCAGAAAUGAGUUCCCUAGUUAAAAAUUAAUUCCCUAGACUAAAAAUAUAAUCAAACGAUGUCUACAGUAUUUUAUGAAGAGCUGAGAGGAUAAUAAAAUUUAAAGCAGUGCAACAUUUGCAUUUCGUUCAUUUCUAUCCAUAUUUUUCCAUAGACUGCCUUUCUCUGUGCUUGUUAAUCAUAUGCACUGCUACAGCCCUGGCAUUUUAAGAUCACUCUUCACAUCAAGAUUGAAAGGAAACUAAUUACAAUCACAUUUCAGGGUGGUUGUUUAAAGCUGGUACAGCACUGACUACAGCACAGGAGCCUUGACCUUUAUUUGUAAGCAUGGAAAUAAGGUAAAGAUGAAAGAUUGCUUUUCCUCCAGCUCAUAUGCAGGGAUCAGGAGGCCCUGUGGGGAAGCAGAGAGGUGGGAAAUCCCCAUACAAUUUCUCUCCUCGCCUCCUCUCCUGUGCUGGCAGCAGAGGCCAGUAGUGCUAUGCAGAAGCUGUGCUCCACUGCAGCGAGAGGUGAAGGAAAGCACCACGUAUUUUGCAGCUCCCUUGGGCUGCCGAAGGAACAAGCAGUGAAUUAGCAGACCUCCUCAAACGCCCCUCUUGUUCGAACCCCAGUCCUACUCGUUUUAAUCUAUCAGUCAAUGACAAAUCCUUCCCUGGGCCUGGGCACAGGCACAAGACCAUCAGCUCGGUGCUGCAUGCCGUGCUCAUGCGAUUAUCAAGGUACCAAUGUGCAUGGGCUACCUGUGAGCAAGAGAUGUAGACGGUACUGCUUAUCUUUUCUGCUGCUCACAUUAUAGCUUAGUAGCAAUAAUAGGAUCUACGAGGAUGCGUCGGGGAAGAAUAAGGACCCCUAACCUGAGGAAAUACAGGUAAUUCUAGUGUUUUCUCUAAUUUCAUUGAAAGCGAUUGCAUUUAGAGCAUGCUGAAUGGCAAAUGUACCCAAUAGGUUUAACCUUUCUGUCUCUUCACACUUUCAAAACUUUUAUUUUAAUAUAUUUAUAUUAUACUCAAACUAAACCAAGAGGUAGUUCCAAAAACAGAUUCAAGUCUAGGACCUGCCGACGUGGUGCUUGCUCUAAAUGCUCUUCUCAGUAUCAUUAUUCAGUGACUGAAGGCUUGCUGUGGUAUGCAAUGACCCCCAAGUGAUCUCUUGGGCCUCGCCAGGUUAUCACAGCUCUGCACUGAAAUGUGAUCAUUGAGGAUAGACCAGCACUGAGCUGAAGCGAUGCCACAUGUCAACCCCCUGCUCUGUGGGCACUGAUCAUACUCACAUCAUGUAUGAGGUGCUGCCCUCACCCUGCACAAUCACUUCAUUUGCCAGUCUCCACUGGCUGGCAGGAAUCACUGUGGGAGCCCCGAGGUUCAGUGGGUUUGAUGGUAACAUCUGCCAGGUCAUUAGCUGGUUGGAAAAGCUCUGGCUGGGGUUUUUAGCAAUGAAAAGAGGGAAACCCAUUUCACACCAUCCCACCACCUCACAUUCUCCACCAGGCACAGGGUGGCUGAUGACUGUGCUGGCCCAGUCUGUACUGGGGAUGAAGACCUGGGCAAUGGCACUGCUGGGGACGUGGCUGCAGUUUCAGCCAAGAUGAGAAGAUGGUUUCAUAGCUCUUCUGUGGUGUGUUCUGCGCCGGUCGGCAUUCUCUAAGCAGAAAUUUAAUCAUGCAAAUAUUUACAGAAAUUGGAUCAAAAAAAUAAAGACUAGUGAAAGCUGCUGCAGUGAACUUCUAAUUACAAAUCCACAAAGUGUUUAUGAAUAAAUUUAUCUAUUAUUUGUCUAGCUCUAGCACUGCGUAUACUUUGCCUUGUACCAUUACAGGCUGAAAGAAACAAUAUGCGGCAUGAAAAUGAAAACAAUUUGACUUAAUUAUUUACACCAUUACCACCCUUUUGAAUUAGGCCCUCUAUUUCUUUGGUAUUUUGUAAAACUUAACUGGUAAUUAUGCUUGUUUAAUUCAUUUUAUUUAUCUACUACUACAAUAAGAUCAAAACAAAACAAAACAAAAUAAAAAAAACCCUACCAGAAUGCAAAGUGCCAGCUACGUUCCUAAACUGUAAACGAUGCUUUUAAGCUAUUAUAACAAAAAUGUAGUAUUUUCUACCAUUUCAUUUAAAGUGUUUCUGGAUAUGCUCCAACACUAUUUAAGUAUAAACAGGAAAAGCCUUGGAGGACAAGUAAUCAUACUUAAAUGACACAAAGAUCAUUAAAAUAAUGUUCCAAAGACAUGACAAAAUUAGACAUUGCAAGACAGUUUUCUUCUUUGAAGUGUUUCACCAGAUGGUGAAGAGUGCUGAAAUAGUAGAUCUGAGAGAGAAGGAAAAACAUUUCAACAGCUUUCUCAUGCUAGCACCGCGUGGCGUGCACAGCUCUCAGCUGAGCUAUGUCUGAAGUACAUCUCAUACCUUGGCCUAAUCAAACAUUGGGGCUGGAGAUAAUGUCGAGGUGUUGGAGUGAAGCUUGUGCUGAAUCACAGUCUGGGAAACCCCUUCUUUGUUCUAUUAAUGCUGUCAAGCAGAUUUAUUCAGAGAUGAGAACAAAUAAGUAUGUUAGCAUAAGUCAUUGUCGUAAUUCGUGAAACUCUUAAUGAGAUAUUUUCAGAGCUCAUAAAGAGGAAGAACUAUGUCAUUAAAUUGCUGCACAAUAAUUCCAUUUUGAUACAGAAAAGAGUUUUUUGUUUGUUUGUUUGUUUGUUUACAUCAAAAAUGACACCCUACCUCAGUGGUGAUGCAUCAGUGAGCUAGUAGUAUUUAAGUACAAGGGUCUAACAGCUGUCUUAGAUGUCAAUGUUUGCUCUUGUAAAUGAAAAGAUGUUUGUAUAGGUAAAAUGACCAUGAGAUGACUUUGCACCUUUUUCACUAUAAAGGUUCUCAUCUGAAGAACUUCAAAGAACAUUAAAGAUCUACAAAGUUCUAUAGGGUUUGUAAGUCUUCUUAUGUCAUUAGCUUUUAGCUUGCUUUAUCAAUAGAAAGUAUCAAUACAAUUUCUAAUUACUUAAAGAAAAAAUAAACCGUUUAUUUUUUUGUCUUAAAUAUUUUUAUCCUUUUAUCUUGGCUAGGGGUUUCUACUUUGAGGAAAGUUGGUGAUCUAACUGAACACACACACCUCCAUCCAUCCAUGACCUCCUGAACCUUUAAUCUCUGAUAAUAUAUAUUUUGGGAAAUCCAUAAAUGUACAAGAUGAAGUAUCUGGAAGUCCUGGAAUCAUCAGUGGUUUCUUCUGGCCCAUUACCAACCUGGCUCUUCCUAGCUCCUAAUGAAAGUCCUGUCAUGUCCUAGGAGAUACCGUAACACUACCUGAGCUGCAAAGCUACAGUGGGCACAAGGCUUAUCUUCUGGAGGAGAGGAUUUCUCAUCAGCUAAAUAUGACUGGCUGGGUUAAACAAUUGGCAAAAGGGUCUAAAUGUAUUUCCAAGUUCCCCACCUUCCAGAAAUGUUGGGUUUCUCAACCGUUUCCUAGCCAACACGUGUGGCAAAUCCAAAUCCACAGGAAAACUCAUCUUUUUUAGAUAAAUGAGCCUGAAAUGGAAGGUGACUUCAUUCCCAUUUGGCAGUCAUUCUAGUUCCAUGCUGUGCAAGGAAACAGCCUCUUAUUCGCUACAGCACAAGUGUCUUUGCAUUGAGUAAUCAUAAAGUCCUAAUAACAGUCUGUCAGCACAUUUCCAUUAUAUAGAGCUAGCCUCAAAAAAUAAAGUAAAAUCCCACACUUUCAGUAUAUCCCCUUUCAACAAGUGCUCAGAAGAGGGGCUUGCAAACUGGAAAUUGUGAAUAUAACUUUAGCAAUCGAGUUUAUUAGUUCACAUACAGCUUAUGUGCUUAAGUAAAAAGCUUGUGCAUGGAUAAUUUUCAAUAGCUUGUGUUAAAUGAACUGAAGACUCUAAGCCUCUUCCUUGGGGACAGAUGACCAUUAGAUAUGCAAAUACUGUAGGUGACAUUAACUGUCAUCCCUGUCGUCAUUGUCAGGUAGUUGCACUGGCACAGGAUGGAAAGUUACCUAAAAUCUUAAAAAUGGAUGGUGCCUCCAAAUGGCUGUGAACUUGCCCUGAUCCUCAAUGUUAUUUCCAAGCCAAAUAAUCUGUGAGAUCUGGGUCUCAGGGACAGUCUGUGCCUCAGUUUCCCAUCUGUAAAAAUAGGAUAUUUAUAAAACUUUAUUAGUUUUUACCCUAAAACGGAUUGUUUUCUUUUUAGAAGGGCUCUUUGAGGAAGACCAGAUCAUUCUGAAAUAAUUUCCAAAGAAAACUAAAUGAUAGUUGGUAGCCUCUGUCUUCAGCCAGGCAAAGGCUUUGUUCUUUGAACUUAAUUAUAUUGUCAGAACUGUGUCAUGGAGGCCGUGAUGAAGAUACUUGCUUUGUUUUCAAGGAAGUCUCUCUGUGUUUGCAUUCACUUUGCCAGAAGCUGCUGCUGUCAGCACUGCAGCGCCAAUAUGGAGUUCUUAAAAUUUGGCAAAGCUCCCGUUGUACAUUUAUUUUAUAUUCUACCUAAGUUCUAGGCAAAAUAUCAUUUCUUGCACUUAAAUACUAAUGGUUUUGAGGGAGAAUAAAAGCCUAGAUUGAACAGCAGACAUAUCAAAAUCAAAUCUUCUUUUAGUGUGUUAUGCUGCUAAGAGAAGAGCUUUGUCUCCACCAGCCGGCAGAGGUUGCUCUGAUGUUAACGCUUAAUCAUGGAACUUAUUUUCAGUGAUAAAGCACAUGAAGGAAAUCAAACCCAAAUAUUUAAAUGAUUAAAUGAUCUGUGAGCCAGAA